GGGUCAGUAGGUUGGUCGUGCCACCGGUACGUACUGGUCUCACUGAUUCCUCCUUCCUGAAGAACCGUAAUGCCAUUAAUUUGGUGUUGCGGGGAAACAGGAUUGUUACUUUGAAAAAAUUAGAGUGUUUAAAGCAAGCUAACGCUUGAAUACAUUAGCAUGGAAUAAUGAAAUAGGGCGAUCGAUCCUAUUUUGUUGGUUUCUAGGAUUGACGUA
rnacentral:rRNA from 1 species